AUAAGAGUAGAUUAUCAAUUAGGGGAGGAAUUGGGCAAUAAUUGAUAGUUUCCAUUGACGUGAAGCAAUGCAACACCAACAGCUAUAGUAGCACCAACACCAACUGAUGCCCCCACAACUUUUUACCCCAUUUCUCUCUCUCUCUCUCUCUAAUUAAUUAGAGCCAACCUUCUUUAGGAGCAUAAAGGAGAGCACAAGAAUGAACCAAAGAUGAAGGAGAUCGGUAACCGGAGUGGGCAGCUGAAGGAGGAUUCCAAAGGGAUCGCAUUGAUCUCUUCUUCUUCAUCAUUUUUAUUUCUUCUUCUUCUUCUUCCUCUUCUUCUCUUCUUUAAUUUUAAAUUCUUUUUUUUUUCUAAUUAUGGUUUAAUUUGAGAGAGAUCAUGCGGUUCCUUUGGAAUUUUCCAUCUGUUGCUGAGUAAUUCUUCACCACCUACACAUCUUUCAGACGACGGAAGAAAUUUAGCGGCGCGGAAGGCAUUCGGUUUCGGAACCUUGGGUGCCUCAUGAUAUAGAAGCCAACUAGAGCAACCGACACUUGCAACGGGGUGGUGUAAAGCACAAUCGCUGCCAUCACGCUGAACACUAAGAAGAUGACAGUGGCCCGUGGAUCCCUCCAGCUAAGCAAUGCUUGCAGCCUCUCCCCUUGAGUGGCCAAAUCUCCGACCACAGUUUGUAUUCUUCCGGCCACGCUCCUCAAUCGAUCAUACCUCAUGCGCACUAUCUCAGAGCUCCGGCUGGUGGGGAAUGUGUCAAACUCCUCGUCGAGCUCAUCAGGGUGCACUGCCUCUGCGUGCGAAAGCUUUAUGUUCAUGUGAGGAGGAUACCGUGGGCGCGAGCGGUAAUUCCAAAGGCCUAUCAUGAACAUGUAUAGAAAUAGAGUAGGAAGAAUCAGU